GUUCGGAUUGCAGGCUGCAACUCGCCUGCAUGAAGCCGGAGUUGCUAGUAACCGCCGGUCAGCAUACGGCGGUGAAUACGUUCUCGGGCCUUGUACACACCGCCCGUCACGCCAUGAAAGUCGGCAACACCUGAAGUCGGUGCGCCAACCUUAGGGGGGCAGCUGCCGAGGGUGGGGCCGGUGAUUGGGGCGAAGUCGUAACAAGGUAGCCGUAGCGGAAGCUGCGGCUGGAUCACCUCCUUU
rnacentral:rRNA from 1 species